rnacentral:rRNA from 1 species
GACGAACGCUGGCGGCGUGCCUAAUACAUGCAAGUAGAACGCACAGUUUAUACCGUAGCUUGCUACACCAUAGACUGUGAGUUGCGAACGGGUGAGUAACGCGUAGGUAACCUGCCUGGUAGCGGGGGAUAACUAUUGGAAACGAUAGCUAAUACCGCAUAAUAUUAAUUAUUGCAUGAUAAUUAAUUGAAAGGUGCAAUUGAACCACUACCAGAUGGACCUUCGUUGUAUUAGCUAGUAGGUGAGGUAACGGCUCACCUAGGCGACGAUACAUAGCCGACCUGAGAGGGUGAGCGGCCACACUGGGACGGAGACACGGCCCAGACUCCUACGGGAGGCAGCAGGAGGGCAUCUUCGGCAAGCGGCGAAAGUCUGACCGAGCAACGCCGCGGGAGUGAAGAAGGUUGUCGGAUCGUAAAGCUCUGUUGUAGGAGAAGAACGGGUGUGAGAGUGGAAAGUUCACACUGUGACGGUAUCUGACCAGAAAGGGACGGCUAACUACGUG